AUUACAGACGUUUAUUCUUUAACUCAGUCUUUGAGAAACACAAAAGCGCUGCGGUUUCUAAAAGAACUUAAUCUGAGUGAUAAUAUGAUUGGAGACUCGAAGCAGCAGCUCAUUUAUGUGCUACGAGACUCAAACUGUGAACUGAGAGUCCCUGAUAGAGUUCAGCCGUCACAGGAUGAUGGAUGCUGUAUAUCAUAGUUAGAGAUGAUGAUGAGAGGAGCAGUG
rnacentral:lncRNA from 1 species